rnacentral:rRNA from 1 species
AUUGAACGCUGGCGGCGUGCCUAACACAUGCAAGUCGAGCGGUAACAGGUGUAGCAAUACAUGCUGACGAGCGGCGGACGGGUGAGUAACGCUUGGGAAUCUGCCUGUUAGUGGGGGACAACCCGGGGAAACUCGGGCUAAUACCGCAUACGCACUACGGUGGAAAGCCGGGGACCGCAAGGCCUGGCGCUAACAGAUGAGCCCAAGUCGGAUUAGCUAGUUGGUAGGGUAACGGCCACCAAGGCGACGAUCCGUAACUGGUCUGAGAGGACGACCAGUCACACCGGAACUGAGACACGGUCCGGACUCCUACGGGAGGCAGCAGUGGGGAAUAUUGGACAAUGGGCGAAAGCCUGAUCCAGCGACGCCGCGUGGGUGAAGAAGGCCUGCGGGUUGUAAAGCCCUUUCAGGUGGGG